UCUCUCUCUCUGAUUUUGCAUGCCGUCCUAAGGGCAUCAUGCGUGCCCCCUUCCCUAGAAGUGGGCGUGCGGUAUCAAGGAUCAAGCUCGGAUUUAGGGCUUGAUGGUUGCUGUCCUUGAGAAGGAUGUAUCAUAAGUUUCCUCAAGUUCAUGUUGGUGAAGGCAGUCCUUCAAUAGUUGGUAUCAGAGUCUGGUGAUGCAUGGAAAUG
rnacentral:lncRNA from 1 species